UCUUUAAUGGAUAACUGCGGUAAAUCUGGAGCUAAUACAUGUCACAAAACCUAGGCUCGCCUAGCUGCAGGUAUUAGUGCAAACCAUUCGUUUUCGGACGUAGUUUGUUGACUCUGAAUACCCAGUAUAUCGACGGUUUAUCCGUCGAAAGCUCGGAAUAGUGUCUGCCCUAUCAACUAGAUGGUAGUCUAUUAGACUACCAUGGUGAUAACGGGUAACGGAGAAUAACGGUUCGGCUCCGGAGAGGGAGCCUUAGAAACGGCUACCACAUCCAAGGAAGGCAGCAGGCGCGUUACUUAUCCACUACCACAGUGAGAUAGUGACUAAAAUUAAAAUGUCCAAUCCUAACGGAUGGGGAUAUUUCAAUGAAUUGAGCUCAAAUAGCUCUAUGAGGACCUAAUGGAGGGCAAGUCUGGGGCCAGCAGCCGCGGUAAUUCCAGCUCCAUUAGUGUACAUCGAUAUUGCUGCGGUUAAAAAGCUCGUAGUUUGAUCCUGGGUUGCAUGCGUUGAUACUCCUUUGGAGCUUAUCUUCGCUGCAGCUAAACUGCUGGUUAACUGCAGGUGUUUUCGGACCCUGUAGCGGCUAGCGAGAUUACUAA
rnacentral:rRNA from 1 species